CUUGUGGCUCACAUGACCUUCCAGGAGUUUCUUCAGUCAAGUCUGUAUCACUCUCUUCAUCCAGCUCAACACACUCUGAAAUACAAGCAAGCAAGAACAUCUCUUAGCAAGGAGAGCGAAAUAGACAGGUCGCUCAGAAAAAGUCACCAUGACAGGGUUGAGGUACCAGGUUCAACUUGACAGAUUGUUACAUACCCACUGGACUGAUGUGGAUCUGGUCAAGACCUUUCCCCUUGAAUUCGUUUAGCCUUCCCUGCUCCAUCGCCAUGAGGACUUUGGUGAUUUUUGCCAGCUGAAGUGUUCCCUCAGGUAACCUGUAAUAUUUCUUGUCCAUCUGUAGAUCAUGUCCCAGGAAAUCUGCUAGCAGGUCCAUGUCGGUGUCAUUUAAGUUGAGUACAGUAGACAUCAUGGUGAUGUGUUUACGCAACUUGAUGGACGAGAGGGAUUCUGGACAUUUAGCCCCACACUUCUUGGCAAAGAGACGCAGGCAGUCUGAUCCGCUAAAUGAUGUUGGACAGCCUGGAAUGGCGAACAUAUAGAUGUUCUCCUUCAGAACGCUGCAAUGUUCACGCUUCUCUGCAAGCAGCUCCAUUGAUUUGAUCAUUGUAGGGGACAGAAGCACUGCGACUUUUCUUGAUCGCUUUCCACGUAUUUCUAUGCGACUAAAAUGUUGGCAUAGCGCCCGUUCAACAUCUGAAAGGGAGUUCCCAUAAUCGUCAUGUAAAGCAGUUUUGUCUCGAGACACGAAUGAGGCCACUGUCAUCAGGGAGGCAUCCCCUAGUCUUUUUCGGUUAAAGACCGUCAUUUGUGACAGAGUGACUUUAGCCAGCUGUGCCCACGUCUUCCUGUUAGGUUCUUUGGAAAGUUGGCUGUAGCAUGUUUUCUGUUUUUCUUGAAGGUGGAUGUGCAGUUUCUUGACAUCUUCAGCAAAUGUCAAGAUCAGUGGAGCAUUGAACUUAUUUUCUUCAAAUGUUUUGUGAGCAUGACACGAGAUGUACUCUCUCCAGCAUGUCUUAUAGAUAUGUUUGAAGUCCUCUACCUUCUGAGCCUUUUUCUUGUUACCAGAGACCCUAGCCUCACAACUAACUAUGUCUGCAACCUUCUGAAGGUUAUGGCCAAGUUUUAAGGCUAGUGAAGGUGUCUUUAGUGUAUUCUUAUCACUGUCAAAGCCACAAACAGCUUUCACUGCACUGAUUGUGUGGAGGAAGUUGGCUGGAUCAAUGUAUUCCUCCAAUCUCGUGAGAGGUGAUACAUGCUUCCCUUUCAAAACCAGUCUUCCCAGCUCGCGCAUUUUCUGCCGUAUCAAUUCAUGAUUGGCACGUCUGUGUCCCAUGAUGUUGUAAUGUUGCUCCCCGAACUGGAUGAUACAUUUGUCUCUCUUUAUGACAUCUACCACCUCAUCUUGUGUCAUAUCAUUGACGAGUUUCCACAGUCCCUUGCUUAUCCCAUCUGGCACAGGUUGUGCAUGGGCACAAAUAGCCUGCACUCGUGUUUUACCAGGUUUCAGCCGUACACCACUCAGUGGGCACCGUUUCAUGUGUUUCCAUAGGAAUUUUCUUUUAAAGAGUCCUUGGCAAUUUGCACAGUGCAAGAAGUCUUUUGGAUUUCCAUUUGGGGAACUGGUUUGUUUACAAGGAACUAUAACACCUUUGCCUUCUCUUAUGACUUGCAUGUUGUGUGCUCUGUCCCCUCGUUUCCUCAGUAUAGUCAGUUGGAGCUUUCUGUCCUUGGAGUUCUUUGGGAAAGAAAGGGCCUUUGCGACUUCAGCUUCACUUUUAUGAAUCAUUUCCAGAUGCCGGGCAAUUUUUGAUUGUGGUUUCUCACAAAAGAGACAGUAAUGUUUUUUGGUGUAUCUUCUUGAUCCAUCUUUAGUCUUUGUAACGUGCAUGACUUCAAGUGAACUUGUCGAUUCUUGCACAGAGGUGUCAGAUUCUGUAUUUCUAUGUCUCUUAUAAGUCUUUUUUGGACCGUCUUUAGGAGCAGAUCUUGCUUUGGUGGGGCCUUUGUUCUUCAAUACAGUGCAGUGCUCCAAGCUGCUCUCACUGUCACUUUCCGUUCUUGACACACAUUCAUCUCGUGUUAUUUCUGUGCUGCUGAUUGAAUCUUCAGAAUUAUAUCCAAUCCUGUCUUUGUCAAGUUGGCCAUCUUUAGGUGCAGAUCUUGCUUUAGUGGUGCAUUUGUCCUUUAAUGCAGUAAAGUCCUCUAAGCUGCUCUCACUGUCACUUUCUGUUCCUGGCACAUAUUCAUAUUCUUUUAUUUCUAUGUUGCUGAUUGAAUCUUCAGAAUCAUAUCCAAGCAUGUGUUUGUUGAGCUGAAAUCAUGAAAACAAAUCAGAAUUGAUAAAUUUGUUUUACUAAAUGCAUUGUCUGAUCACUGAAAAACUGAACAGUUUUACUCCAACAUAUCAACUCAUUUACUAAACCAAUAACUGUGUCCUUAUUAUUCUGAAAGGGCCUAUUUCAUGCAAUCAAGUAAUAAAAUAAAACCAUGCUCCUUUCUUAUUUGUAAUCAUUCCAUUAUCUAUUCUGUAUGCUAGUGUACAGAGUAAAACAUGUAUCGGGUCUCUAAGUUCCUGACUAACUCCACAGCUAAAGGGAUACCGAGACAGAUUUGGUCCUUGUGAAAGGAAUGAGACUAAUUUCAUCCCUGUAUGAUGACCACAAAUCAGAGUGGCCCUAGAAAUAUGAUAUCCACAGUAUCUUGGCCUGAGUUCAGUCUUGCUCGACCUCUUCAGACUCUGUCACAGACAGAAAUAUCAACUCAGGGAUAAUCUUCAGACUUUAAAGUUUCCGGAAUGGUGACUUGCUCAGGUAGACCAUUUUUAGAUAGCUAAAGAUCUCAUUGGGCCCAUAUAAUACAUAGUCACCUCAAAUUAUUGGCACCCUUGAUAAAGAAGAGCAAAAAAGACUAAACUAAAUACCAAUACUGAGCUAUAUUUUAUGCUCCAAAAAGUUUUCAAAUUAUUAUUUUAUACUGAUAUAAUUUCUCAGAGAAAUAGAUUGUUUCAAUAUUUUUUCUCUCUUAAAAAGAUGGGUGAAGAUAAUUUAGACCCCUCUGUCAAAAGUUUAGUGUUUAGUAUUUAAUUCCAUAUUCUUAGCGCACAUUGACUACAUCAAGCUAGUGACUAAACAAACUUGUUGCAUUCACGCUUUGUUUUGGUUGUGUUUCAAAGAUCAUAUCCUUAAGACAUGCUAACCUCUCACCAUUAGCAAUAACAGGGGAGGUUGGCAUGUCUUGGGGGUAUGAUCUUUGUUCUUUGGCCCUAAUCUAUGGAUUUCACAUGAGUGGAAAUACAGACAUGCAUCGUGACACGUCUCCUUCGCAUAGAGUUGAUCAAGCUGUUGAUUGGAAUGGUGUCCCACUACACUUGUUGCUUGAUAUUGGCGGAAACUGUAACACGCGUUCCUACACGUCGAUCCAGAGCAUCCCAAACAUGCCUGGCGAGUAUGCAGGCCAGAAACAGGGACAUUUUCAGCUUCCAGGAAUUGUGUACAGAUCCUUGCGACAUGGGGCAAUGCAUUAUUAUGCUGAAACAUAAGGUGAUGGCUGCUGAUGAAUGAACCUCGGGAUCUCAUCACGGUAUCUCUGUGCAUUCAAAUUGCCAUCGAUAAAAUGCAAUUGUGUUUGUUGUCUGUAACUUAUCCCUGCCAUACCAUAACCCCAACGCCACAAUGGGGCACUCCAUUCACAACGUUGAUAUCAGCAAAAUGCUCGCCCAAACGACACUAUACACGUGGUCUGCGGUUGUGAGGCCGGUUGGAUGUACUGCCAGAAUCUAUAAAACGACGUUGGAGGUGGCUUAUGGUAGAGAAAUUAACAUAAAAUUCUCUGGCAACAGCUCUGGUGGACAUUCCUACAGUCAGCAUCCCUCAACUUGAGACAUUGUGGCAUUGUGACAAAACUGAACAUUUUAGUGGCCUUUUUUUGUCCCCAGCACAAGGUGCACCCAUGUAAUGAUCAUGCUGUUUAAUUAUCUUCUUGAUAUGCCACACUUGUCAGGUGGAUUGAUUAUCUUGGCAAAGGAGAAAUGCUCACAAAAUGAGAAAAAUGGGCCAAAAUUCACCCAACUUAUUGUGGGAAGCUUGUGGAAGGCUACCCUAAACAUUUGACCCAAGUUAAACAAUUUAAAGGCAAUGCUACCAAAUACUAACUGAGUGUAUGUAAACUUCUGACCCACUGGGAAUGUGAUGAAAGAAAUAAAAGCUGAAAUAGAUCAUUCUCUCUACUAUUAUUCUGACAUUUCACAUUCUUAAAAUAAUGUGGUGAUCCUUACUGACCUAAAACAGGGAAUUUUUACUAGGAUUAAAUGUCAAGAAUUGUGAACUUAAGUUUAAAUAUAUUUGACUAAGGUGUAUGUAAAGUUAUGACUUCAACUGUGUGUGUGUAUGUAUAUAUAUAUAUAUAUAUAUAUAUAUAUAAAUAAAUCUAAAUAAAUAAAACAUCCCUUUUUCACGACCCUGUCUUUCAAAGAUAAUCCAAAUAACUUCACAGAUCUUCAUUGUAAAGGGUUUCAACACUGUUUCCCAUGCUUGUUCAAUGAGCCAUAAACAAUUAAUGAACAUGCACCUGUGGAACGGUCGUUAACACUAACAGCUUACAGACAGUAGGCAAUUAAGGUCACACUUGUGAAAACUUAGGACACUAAAAAGGCCUUUCUACUGACCAAAAGAAAGAUGAACUGCGUGAACGUGCCUUAGGCAUGCUGCAAGGAGGCAUGAGGACUGCAGAUGUGGCCAGGGAAAGAAAUUGCAAUGUCCGUACUGUGAGUCACCUAAGACAGCGCUACAGGGAGACAGGACGGACAGCUGAUCGUCCUCGCAGUGGCAGACCAUGUGUAACAACACCUGCACAGGAUCGGUACAUCAGAACAUCACACCUGCCGGACAGGUACAAUGGCAACAACAACUGCCGAAGUUACACCAGGAAUGCACAAUCCCUCCAUCAGUGCUCAGACUGUCCGCAAUAGGCUGAGAGAUAGGCUGAGAGAGGCUGGACUGAGGGCUUGUAGGCCUGUUGUAAGGCAGGACCUCACCAGACAUCACCGGCAACAAUGUCGCCUAUGGACACAAACACACCGUCGCUGGACCAGACAGGACUGGCAAAAAGGGCUCUUCACUGAAGAGUCGCGGUUUUGUCUCACCAAGGGUGAUGGUUAGAUUCACGUUUAUCAUCGAAGGAAUGAGCGUUACACCCACGCCUGUACUCGGGAGCGGGAUCGAUUUGGAGGUGAAGGGUCCGUCACGGUCUGGGGCGGUGUGUCACAGCAUCAUUGGACUGAGCUUGUUGUCAUUGCAGGCAAUCUCAACGCUGUGCAUCACAGGGAAGACAUCCUCCUCCCUUCCUGCAGGCUCAUCCUGACAUGACCCUCCAGCAUGACAAUACCUCCAGCCAUACUGCUCGUCCUGUGCGUGAUUUCCUUCAAGACAGGAAUGUCAGUGAGCCCGGACCUCAAUCCCAUUGUGCACGUCUAGGAACUGUUGGAUCGGAGGGUGAGGGCUAGGGCCAUUCCCCGCAGAAAUGUCCAGGAACUUGCAGGUGUCUUGGUGGAAGAGUGGGGUAACAUCUCACAGCAAGAACUGGCAAAUCUGGUGCAGUCAAUGAGGAGACGAUGCACUGCGG
ensembl:lncRNA